rnacentral:sRNA from 1 species
CAGGACAGGUACAGAACAGGCAGCGACAGUGCGAGCUUUCCCACACCAACCCGCCCAUGUGCCUCAACCCUGACCUGGAGGGACUACCUCUAGG